AACGCUAUGAGAUGAGAGCUGCUGAAUAGGAAAGUUGCAUGCAUUUGUGGGAGUUAUUAGCAGAAGUCAGAAGAACUUAAAAAGAACACCAUCAGAGAUGACAUGAAGGAUUGAUAAGAUGUCAAGUGAACCGGUUUAUGCUGGACAGCUUCGGGAUUGGACAAUUAGAUGGCUGGUCAGCGUUGCUAUUGGUUAAAUCAGUUGCUGUCCAGUUGCUAGGCCUGUUUCUAUUUUUAUCUAGUUUACUGAUUGGUUUUUGGUGGUUUGUGGCGGGAAUUUCACCUAUUUAUUGAGGUACCUUACCUGUGGACAGGGGCGUAGCUAUAGGGGGUGCAGAGGUAGCAGUCGCUACCGGGCCCAGCAGCCUGAGGGGGCCCAAAGACCCUUCUGCUGAAUAAGAAUUAACAAAGCACUGA